rnacentral:sRNA from 1 species
CGUGCUCUGCCUGUUGCGGUGAAAUAAAAUGAAUAUGAGUAUCGAUACCUGCUGCGGUCAAAAUCAGAUGUUCGCCCGAAAUGGCGUCAGUGCUGACACCAACUACCAUGCCUGGCGUGACGCCAUCCAUCAUGCCGGGAUUGCCGCUUUUGCCUAUACCGACAAUAAGACCAUUUUUGAUCCCGACAUCGGCUUUUAUCACCCCUUGUCGCGCAUCCAGAAUGGUGACAUUGGUGAUGACCAGAUCCAGCACAUUUUCGCUGGUCAUCCGGUUGUCGGCUCCCAUUCCGUCG